GUCCUUGUAGUACAAACUUAAUACCCUGGUCUUGUAAACCAGAAAUGGAGAACCUCUCCCAAGGACA
rnacentral:tRNA from 1 species